rnacentral:rRNA from 1 species
UACGAAGGGGGCUAGCGUUGCUCGGAAUCACUGGGCGUAAAGCGCACGUAGGCGGAUUGUUAAGUCGGGGGUGAAAUCCUGGAGCUCAACUCCAGAACUGCCUUUGAUACUGGCAAUCUCGAGUCCGGGAGAGGUGAGUGGAACUGCGAGUGUAGAGGUGAAAUUCGUAGAUAUUCGCAAGAACACCAGUGGCGAAGGCGGCUCACUGGCCCGGUACUGACGCUGAGGUGCGAAAGCGUGGGGAGCAAACAGG